CCUACGGGUGGCAGCAGUGAGGAAUAUUGGUCAAUGGACGAGAGUCUGAACCAGCCAAGUAGCGUGAAGGAUGACUGCCCUAUGGGUUGUAAACUUCUUUUAUAUGGGAAUAAAACGUUCCACGUGUGGGAUUUUGUAUGUACCAUAUGAAUAAGGAUCGGCUAACUCCGUUCCAGCAGCCGCGGUAAUACGGAGGAUCCGAGCGUUAUCCGGAUUUAUUGGGUUUAAAGGGAGCGUAGGUGGAUUGUUAAGUCAGUUGUGAAAGUUUGCGGCUCAACCGUAAAAUUGCAGUUGAAACUGGCAGUCUUGAGUACAGUAGAUGUGGGCGGAAUGCGUGGUGUAGCGGUGAAAUGCUUAGAUAUCACGAAGAACUCCGAUUGCGAAGGCAGUUCACUGGACUGCAACUGACACUGAGGCUCGAAAGUGUGGGUAUCAAACAGGAUUAGAUACCCGGGUAGUC
rnacentral:rRNA from 1 species